rnacentral:rRNA from 1 species
UAGUGGCGGACGGGUGAGUAACGCGUGAGCAACCUGCCCUUCAGAGGGGGACAACAGUUGGAAACGACUGCUAAUACCGCAUAAAAUACUUUUGCUGCAUGGCAGAGGUAUCAAAGAUUUAUCGCUGAAGGAUGGGCUCGCGUCUGAUUAGCUAGUUGGUGGGGUAAAGGCCCACCAAGGCGACGAUCAGUAGCCGGACUGAGAGGUUGAACGGCCACAUUGGGACUGAGAUACGGCCCAGACUCCUACGGGAGGCAGCAGUGGGGAAUAUUGGGCAAUGGGGGCAACCCUGACCCAGCAACGCCGCGUGAAGGAAGAAGGCUUUCGGGUUGUAAACUUCUUUGACGAGGGACGAAAAAAAUGACGGUACCUCGAAAACAAGCCACGGCUAACUACGUGCCAGCAGCCGCGGUAAUACGUAGGUGGCAAGCGUUGUCCGGAUUUACUGGGUGUAAAGGGCGCGUAGGCGGGACUGCAAGUCAGAUGUGAAAUGCAGAGGCUCAACCUCUGAGCUGCAUUUGAAACUGUAGUUCUUGAGUAUCGGAGAGGCAGGCGGAAUUCCUAGUGUAGCGGUGAAAUGCGUAGAUAUUAGGAGGAACACCAGUGGCGAAGGCGGCCUGCUGGACGACAACUGACGCUGAGGCGCGAAAGCGUGGGGAGCAAUACAGGGUUAGAUACCCUGGUAGUCCACGCCGUAAACGAGCUUGCAGGUGGGGGGGACUGACCCCCUCCGUGCCGAGAGUAAUCACAAUAAGUUUUCCACCUGGAGGUACGGGCCGCAAGGUUGAAACUCAAAGGAAUUGUCGGGGGCCCGCACAAAGCAGUGGAUUAUGUGGUUUAAUUCGGAGCAACGCGAAGAACCUUACCAGGGCUUGACAUCCAACUAACGAAGCAGAGAUGCAUUAGGUGCCCUUCGGGGAAAGUUGAGACAGAUGGUGCAUGGUUGUCGUCAGCUCGUGUCGUGAGAUGUUGGGUUAAGUCCCGCAACGAGCGCAACCCUUAUUGUUAGUUGCUACGCAAGAGCACUCUAGCGAGACUGCCGUUGACAAAACGGAGGAAGGUGGGGACGACGUCAAAUCAUCAUGCCCCUUAUGUCCUGGGCUACACACGUAAUACAAUGGCGUUCAACAGAGGGAAGCAAAGCCGCGAGGUGGAGCAAAUCCCCAAAAGGCGUCUCAGUUCGGAUUGCAGGCUGCAACUCGCCUGCAUGAAGUCGGAAUUGCUAGUAAUCGCGGAUCAGCAUGCCGCGGUGAAUACGUUCCCGGGCCUUGUACACACCGCCCGUCACACCAUGAGAGCCG